GUAGGGAAUAUUGGUCAAUGGACGAAAGUCUGAACCAGCCAUUCCGCGUGCAGGAAGAAGAUUCUAUGGAUUGUAAACUGCUUUUAGCAGAGAAGAAACGCCUUCAUUGAUGAGGGUUUGACGGUAUCUGCGGAAUAAGCACCGGCUAACUCCGUGCCAGCAGCCGCGGUAAUACGGGGGGUGCAAGCGUUAUCCGGAAUCACUGGGUUUAAAGGGUGCGUAGGCGGGAAAUUAAGUCAGUGAUGAAAGUCUGUUGCUUAACGAUAGAAUUGCCGUUGAUACUGAUUUUCUUGAAUUGGGUUGAGGUUAGCGGAAUGUGACAUGUAGCGGUGAAAUGCAUAGAUAUGUCAUGGAACACCAAUUGCGAAGGCAGCUAGCUGGGCCUUGAUUGACGCUGAGGCACGAAAGCGUGGGUAGCGAACAGGAUUAGAAACCCGUGUAGUCC
rnacentral:rRNA from 1 species